UACGGAGGGAGCUAGCGUUAUUCGGAAUUACUGGGCGUAAAGCGCACGUAGGCGGCUUUGUAAGUUAGAGGUGAAAGCCUGAAGCUCAACUUCAGAAUUGCCUUUAAGACUGCAUCGCUUGAAUCCAGGAGAGGUGAGUGGAAUUCCGAGUGUAGAGGUGAAAUUCGUAGAUAUUCGGAAGAACACCAGUGGCGAAGGCGGCUCACUGGACUGGUAUUGACGCUGAGGUGGCGAAAGCGUGGGGAGCAAACAGG
rnacentral:rRNA from 1 species